rnacentral:ncRNA from 1 species
UUAUGAAACAGGCAAAAUUACCGAAAGGUAAUGACGCAAAGCCAAGGGUCUAAAGUACUGUAAAUCGGUACAAUGAUAGCCGGGUUGCCAUU